GUCAACCACCACUAAUUGGAAUAAUAGUGGGGAGUUGAAAGAGCCUAGUUGACCAGUCUAAGUGUUAAAUUACUGCGUUUAAGAUGAAAAUAAAUACUACUGUACUACUAACCUUAAUUUUGUUAACUCUAAU
rnacentral:sRNA from 21 species